rnacentral:rRNA from 1 species
GAUCCUGGCUCGGGAUGAACGCUAGCUACAGGCUUAACACAUGCAAGUCGAGGGGCAGCAUGAACUUAGCUUGCUAAGUUUGAUGGCGACCGGCGCACGGGUGAGUAACACGUAUCCAACCUGCCGAUGGCUCGGGGAGUAGCCUUUCGAAAGAAAGAUUAAUACCCGAUGGCAUAGUUCUUCCGCAUGGUAGAACUAUUAAAGAAUUUCGGUCAUCGAUGGGGAUGCGUUCCAUUAGGUUGUUGGG